rnacentral:rRNA from 1 species
AAUAGAUACCCCGGUAGUCCACGCCGUAAACGAUGAGUGCUAAGUGUUAGAGGGCUUCCACCCUUUAGUGCUGCAGCUAACGCAUUAAGCACUCCGCCUGGGGAGUACGGCCGCAAGGCUGAAACUCAAAGGAAUUGACGGGGGCCCGCACAAGCGGUGGAGCAUGUGGUUUAAUUCGAAGCAACGCGAAGAACCUUACCAGGUCUUGACAUCCUUCGCUACCUCUAGAGAUAGAGGGUUCCCCUUCGGGGGACGGAGUGACAGGUGGUGCAUGGUUGUCGUCAGCUCGUGUCGUGAGAUGUUGGGUUAAGUCCCGCAACGAGCGCAACCCUUGACCUUAGUUGCCAGCAUUCAGUUGGGCACUCUAAGGUAACUGCCGGUGACAAACCGGAGGAAGGUGGGGAUGACGUCAAAUCAUCAUGCCCCUUAUGACCUGGGCUACACACGUGCUACAAUGGAUGGUACAAAGGGUCGCGAAACCGCGAGGUGGAGCCAAUCCCGAAAAAACCAUUCUCAGUUCGGAUUGCAGGCUGCAACUCG